UGAGGAAUAUUGGACAAUGGGCGAGAGCCUGAUCCAGCCAUGCCGCGUGCAGGAAGACUGCCCUAUGGGUUGUAAACUGCUUUUAUACAGGAAGAAACACCCCGACGUGUCGGGGCUUGACGGUACCGUAAGAAUAAGGAUCGGCUAACUCCGUGCCAGCAGCCGCGGUAAUACGGAGGAUCCAAGCGUUAUCCGGAAUCAUUGGGUUUAAAGGGUCCGUAGGCGGAUAAUUAAGUCAGGGGUGAAAGUCUGCAGCUCAACUGUAGGACUGCCCUUGAUACUGGUUAUCUUGAAUCGUUGUGAAGUGGCUAGAAUAUGUAGUGUAGCGGUGAAAUGCAUAGAUAUUACAUAGAAUACCGAUUGCGAAGGCAGGUCACUAACAACGUAUUGACGCUGAGGGACGAAAGCGUGGGGAGCGAACAGGAUUAGAUACCCUGGUAGUCCACGCCGUAAACGAUGGAUACUAGCUGUCCGGCCUUCGGGCUGGGUGGCCAAGCGAAAGUGAUAAGUAUCCCACCUGGGGAGUACGUUCGCAAGAAUG
rnacentral:rRNA from 1 species